rnacentral:lncRNA from 1 species
GCAUUCAGAAGUGGGCUGCCAUCCUGCUUUUUCUGAAGUGAACAGCUGCUGGGUAUUGAAACCAGCCCUCACGGUUGGGUCCCUGCCACCAUGGCAACACUCUGGUUUCUGAGCUGGAGUGGCCAAGGCACAAUGGGGUGGUUCCAUGGCCCAGAAGCACUCUAGCUACAGAUUAGAAUGAUGACAAGAGUAAUACCUUCCUAGUGAAGAUGACUUUUAUUUCAGGACUAUAUUAAGUUUCCCAACUUCUGUCAUGAUAUAGUCCAAAGAGAACCUGGACCACGCAGACAUCAAACAGAACAUGACACUGACCCAUUCUAUCAGUGACGUUGUGCUGAUUGCACAGGACAGAUGAGAGGCUCGUAUACUAGAAGUCUUGUCAUAUGAUACUUCAAAAUCUGUGAUUCCAUGAAGCCAAGAGUAGCUCUUCAACAGGAAAUGAAUGAGUGCUUCAGCUUCUGAUCCCAUUAGUAAGAAAAUACAGUCUUAUGAGCAAUGAUGGAGCUGCAUCUCUUAGGGGCAUUUGAUUCCCAAGAGACCAAAGAGCAAAGAGAAUGUCAAUUUAAAAAAAUCAAAUGUUUCCAUGACUUAGCUAUUUAACUGCUUUAAAAUGAAUGAAUGCUGCUUCAAGUUCUUUCAAAUACCCCACAUCUUGGCAACAACGAAAGGAAUUAACAUGAAGAAAAUUUACAAUCUUUCAUCACAUCGAACAAUGUCCCACAUUUGAAAAGUUCACAGCACAGAUUUCUGGUUACUGAAAGAAAGGAAAGACCUUCUUUGGAUUUGAAUAAACAGAUGGACUUUCUUCUCCUUUUUCUUAUAGUGCCCGAUUUGUGUAAAGGGAGGUGGGAAGAAAACAUCUUAGCUUAAAAGAGUGUCCUAUAAAAUAAAAGGUUUCAUACUUGCCUAUAGCUAAUCUCUGAAGGUGGUUACAAAAGAGGAUUUCUGAAACAUUUUAUAUGCAAUGGCCCAGACAUUUGCAUAAGUGGUCAAACUUUCAAGAUGACAACUUAAAAAUAUAAUACUCCUUUUGGACAAGCUUGUUUUUAAAAUAGCAGCAUCAUUAACUUUGGCAAAUCCAAUUCUUAAAUAUCCUUUAAAAUAGUUGAUAAAAGAAAGAAGGUAUCAGAACUAUAUAAUGGUUGCACUGCAUUUUUUAAAACCUCUUAUUUUGAAAUAAUUUUAGAAUCACAGAAAGUUGCAAAUAUAGUAUAAGGAGUCCCAUGUGCCCUACAUGAUGACAUCUUAUAAAGGGAUAGUAUAAUAUCAAAACCAAGAAAUUGACAUUGGCACAUUACUGUUAUUUUUUUAUUAUACUUUAAGUUUUAGAGUACGUGUGCACAACGUGCAGGUUUCUUACAUAUGCAUACAUGUGCCAUGCUGGUGUGCUGCACCCAUUAACUCGUCAUUUAAUAUUAGGU